UUUUAGUAGCGGAAGUAGGCCCAUGCGAAAAGGUUCAAAGUGCAAUAUAUUUUCUUUUUAAAAAUACACCAUAAUUUUAUUUUAAAUGAAAUACAAUGUCAAAAUAUUAACAGAUUAAACCAACUUCCUAACUGAUUAAUACAAUCAUUCAAAAUCACUGCAAGUUUAUAUUGUACAUAAAUUUCAAACUAUCAGGUAUAAAAAAAAAGGAAACUAGUUUUCUCCUUUUCUACAUAUUUACAAGAGAAAGCGUAAAUUCAGCAUAUUACAAGACUUGAGUUAUUAAAACACCCUAAUACAAUAAAAUAGGUUACAAAUUCAAGUUACAAGAUUUUGGUCUUUAAAAUCCAACAAGCCUCCAAAUAACAUAAGUGUGACAUAUAUAUAUAUAUCCUGUAUAUCAUGUACAUGUCCCCAAACUAUGCAAACCAAGGUGCAUAUGCAAAUGUGAUCUCCAUAAAUUCUCCCAAAAAGAGUACUUCACCCUGACCAUCUUCAGAUUUCAUCCCGACCAUUUCCUACGAUAGAAAACAACUAUCGCUAAGCAUGAAGCUUAGUGGCGUAUAAACUUUAGGCUUGAAGUCAUUAAAUUCUCCAAUUCCCCUUUUCGGUCAUAGUUAGCUCAAUUUAAUAUAAUUUAAAACAAGUGAACAAAUAUAUCAAACAUAUCCAUAUCAAACUUUGAAGUGUUUCCAAAUAUCAAUAACAAUGUUCAAGAGUUUAGAAAGUGUAUACUAUCAAUUUAAGAGAGUAUACCAAAUAUCCAUUUUUCACCCAAUAUGUACGUCAUGCCAUCUCACUAAGCAUAAUCAAAUAUCAAGAUGGACCGAAGCCCCAAAUCAAGUAGGGUCAAAACCCAAUAGACCAGAGAAUCAAGAACCAUAUUAAAAAUGGCUUCCUAGUUCGUACUUAACACAGACAAGUUCCAUAAUUCAAGACGAACUACAAAUCCAAAGUCAAGAUGGCAAAAGAUCCAAAUCAAGAGGCAUGCCAAGAUGAGUGACAAAGUCACUGCCACAAGAAGGACAAAGUCCCAACAAGAAUGCAAAAUAAUCAAACAUCCGUACGAAUGGACGAUUUUGCAAAUAUCUUACAAUACUUGAUAUAAUACGAAUAUAACAAUAUAAAUUGAAGCCAAGAAAAAUAAAAUAUCAAGUUAUUUCAACAUAUUCCAGCAAGCAAAAAGAGUACAAGUUUAUACACAAACCUUGGUGUUUUACCACGAAACAGUUCAAUCACAACUUGGGGACGUUCGAAUCGUCUACGCCGUAAACAAACCAAAUCUGUCCACUUCCUCAAACACUUCCCCUUUGAUUUUUUUUCAAGAGUUUAUAUACAUUAAAUACAUAAUCAAGUAUCUAAAUAAGUUCAGUGAUUUAGCAAGUCAAACUAAAUAUGAUAUUGGUGAAAUUAUUCAAAAACAUUUGAAACAGAAAUUCUGGACAGUAUCACUGUUCCGAGUUAUGACUCAGUUUCGAAUAUCUAAACGGACAAACUAGACUUUAUGGUCUUCACAAAAGUUGUAGAUCUAUGUCUUACCAUUUCAUAACAUCUUGAAUCACCUCCAUAUCAAUUUUGAACAAAAGGUUAUGCUAAAAUUACUAACAGCAGUACAUGGAGUAUUUCUAAAACUGAAAAUCUGGACAGCACCUGCCCUGUACUUUCUGAUCCUUUUUCAGGUAAAUACCAACAAAAAUAGAUUUUGGUUCCUCCAUAAGAGUUAUAGAUUUAUGAAAUACCUUUCCAGAAAGUCCUGGAUCACUUAAAUCAGAGCUCUGUACAAAAAGAUAUGUAGAAAAUUCUAGUAGGUGUCUAGUAUAAAAACGAGUUUAGAAACUUACCAAGAGGAGCAACUUGAUCUUCACCAAAAACGAAAUUUGCUUGUUGAUUUAGUAGAAAUCCAUGGUUUUUUUUUCAUGAAACUUCAGAUUUUCUAGUUUCUACGGAGGAGAGAGAGAUAGAGAGAUAGAGAUAGAGAGAAAGAGAGAUAGAUAGAAAGAGAGAGAUGAAUAACUAUUCUUCUUUGUCUUGAAGAAUAGAAAAAAAUGGGGAGUUUAUGGAUAGAUAUAAAAUAAAAUGGUUACCCAACUACU
rnacentral:lncRNA from 1 species